UACUUGGUUGAUCCUGCCAAGGAAGCACACUUAGGUCAUAGAUUAAGCCAUGCAAGUGUUAGUUCAGGUAACGAAACUGCGAAUAGCUCAUUAAUACGCUCAGAAUCUAUUUGGCGGCGACCAACAGGUCUUAAAUGGAUAGCAGCAGCAACUCUGGUGCUAAUACAUGCGAUUGUUUCUCCAGAUGUGAAUUAUGGAGGAAAAGUUGACCUCAUCAGAGGCACGCCAUUCGACUGAGUGACCUAUCAGCUUGUACUUAGGGUCUUUACCUAGGUAGGCUAUCACGGGUAACGGGCGGUUACCGUCGGACUGCCGGAGAAGGCGCCUGAGAGAUAGCGACUAUAUCCACGGGUAGCAGCAGGCGCGAAACUUUCCCACUCGAGACUUUCGGAGGAGGUAAUGACCAGUUCCAUUGGUGCCUUUUGGUACUGUGGAUAGGGGUACGGUUUUCCACCGUACCGAAACCUAGCAGAGGGCCAGUCUGGUGCCAGCAGCUGCGGUAAUUCCAGCUCUGCGAGUUUGCUCCCAUAUUGUUGCAGUUAAAACGCCCGUAGUCUGAAUUGGCCAGCAAUGGUCGUACGUAUUUUUACGUUCACUGUGAACAAAUCAGGACGCUUAGAGUAUGGCCACAUGAAUGACUCAGCGCAGUAUGAAGUCUUUGUUUUCUUCCGAAAACAAGCUCAAUGAGAGCCAUCGGGGGUAGAUCUAUCUCAUGACGAGUGGUGGAAUACUUUGACUCAUGAGAGAGAAGCUGAGGCGAAGGCGUCUACCUAGAGGGUUUCUGUCGAUCAAGGGCGAGAGUAGGAGUAUCCAACAGGAUUAGAGACCCUGGUAGUUCCUACCUUAAACGAUGCCGACAGGAGUUUGUCAUUUGUUAAUGGCAGAAUCUUUGGAGAAAUCAUAGUUCUUGGGCUCUGGGGGAACUACGACCGCAAGGCUGAAACUUGAAGGAAUUGACGGAAGGGCACACCAGGGGUGGAGCCUGUGGCUUAAUUUGAAUCAACACGGGGAAACUUACCAGGACCAGAUGUUUUUUAUGACUGACAGGCUUCGGGUCUUUCAGGAUAUUGUUUUUGGUGGUGCAUGGCCGUUGGUGGUGCGUGGGUUGACCUGUCUAGCGUUGAUUCAGCUAACGAGCGAGAUUAUCGCCAAUUAUUUACUUUGCCGAAGUCCUUCGGUUAAAGUUCUAAUUGGGACUCCCUGCGAUUUUAGCAGGUGGAAGAGGGUAGCAAUAACAGGUCCGUGAUGCCCUUUAGAUGCUCUGGGCUGCACGCGUGCUACAAUGUUAGGAUCAAUAGGACUGCGAGCCUGAGAGGGUGCGCUACUCUUAUAAUCCCUAACGUAGUUGGGAUUGACGUUUGUAAUCAGCGUCAUGAACCAGGAAUCCCUUGUAAAUGUGUGUCAACAACGCACGUUGAAUACGUCCCUGCCCUUUGUACACACCGCCCGUCGCUCCUACCGAUUGGAUGACUCGGUGAAAUCACCGGAUGCUUACGAGCAGAAAGUGAUUAAAUCACGUUAUCUAGAGGAAGGAGAAGUCGUAACAAGGUAACGGUAGGUGAACCUGCCGUUGGAUCAGUU
rfam:Trichomonas vaginalis G3, whole genome shotgun sequence.